UUGAAGGCUGAAAUUCGCCUUCCAUGAAGCCGGAAUUGCUAGUAAUGGCAGGUCAGCAUACUGCCGUGAAUACGUUCCCGGGCCUUGUACACACCGCCCGUCACACCAUGAGAGUUGGGAAUACCCGAAGCCUGUGAGCUAACUUUUAGAGGCAGCAGUCGAAGGUAGAAUCAAUGAUUGGGGUGAAGUCGUAACAAGGUAAC
rnacentral:rRNA from 1 species